UGAAAGACUACACCUACUCAAGGUAUGAAACCAUAUAAAAUUUGAGAACUUAGAAAUUACCUGCUUGUUAUUCACCAAUAAUCAUAUUCUUGAAGUGGUGAGAGUUUGAUUUAUUGGGCGCAACAUUAUCAUAAAUGAAGAAUUUGCUUAUUAAACAUCCUAUCAUUUCUUUAAUUGAACCACCCUUUAAUAUAUCUUUGAUAUUUUUGUCUUGCUCUAGAAGACUUAUAGAGGAAGGGUGCAAUAAGAGGUGAUGGGUCUGAAUGUUGCAUACUUUGAGAUUUCUGCGUCGUCGAUGCACCACUAGAAUGUGAUGACUCCCUUGUUUUACGCUUGCUUCCCAUAACAAUUUCAUAUUGUUACCGCUCCCAUUCUGUUGCAUUCGAUGCAUGAACCGCCUUUCGAUAAGCAUCUCGCUCAUCUGGGUGCAUAUCUACUAGAUACAUAUACACUUUUUCAUCUUCAUCUUCAUCGUCAUCUUUGUCCAUGACAUGUCUAUGCUUAGCUCCCGUAGUGCCAUGUAAUUGAGCACAAAUCUCUUCAAUAUGUGCAGUUUUCUUUACUUUUGCUUUACUUUUUUCAUGUAACAUCUCUCGUAUAUCUUCUUUCACUUUAAGUGGCAUUGUAGGACACUUCUUGGUGUUUUUUUAUGGGUCUUUAUACUCUAAAUGAUACUUGAACCGAGUGAUGCCUCCACUCUUCAUCAACAGUCCACAAAAAUUAUAAAUUGUCCCAUUUCGGUUUCUUCUACUGGAGAACAA
rnacentral:lncRNA from 1 species